rnacentral:lncRNA from 1 species
GCCAUUCCCUUGAAUUAAAGCAGCAACUUCCCUAUAGCAUACUAGUGAUCGUGCGAGCAAAGCAAUGAAUAAAUGUACACAUGACAUGACAUACUAGGAUCGUGCGAGCAAAACAAUGAAUGAAUGAACACGAGUACAUGACUGUACAUACAUAUGUGAUCGAUCAACGAAUUAAGUUAACAUUGUAUGUGAUCUAGAAGAAUGCCAAGAAGAGAUCAAGUCGGUGAUCAGACCAUCAUCAUGACCCGGAACUCGUCGAACGAGAGUUUGCCGUCGCCGUCAAGGUCGAACCUGCAGAUCAUUGCCCUACACUCCUCCACGCGCAGCUCGUGCGACCCCAGCCUGGUCAGCGUCCGCCUCAAGCUCGCUGGCGUAAUCAUGUCUUCCGCAGACGACGACGCGUACAUCCCGAACACCUCCCUCAGGCACCUUCGCUUGAUGUCGGCAUUGUCCUCUUCAUGGGUGCCAGCGGCGGCCAGUCUCGAGAACUCUUCUUGGUUUAGCAGCCCGUCGCCGUCCGCGUCCACCGCUGCAAGGAUUACCGCCGCCUCCUCCUCGGGCACGUCCUCGCCCAGCGUCGCCUCCAUGCAGCGCCGUAGCUCGGACACAGAAACCUUGCCGUCGCCGUCCUUGUCGAAGGCGGCGAACACCGACAGCACCGCCAUGAUUGGCUGCUAAAUAAGUGUUGCUGCUGACUAGCUGAUUGGGAGCUGGGAGCUUGAUUUGUAGGUGUAUGCCUUGAAAGCAGCUGAUGAUAAUAUGGCGCGUGUGGCGGGGUAUAUAUACGCGCGUGCGAACGGAAGACAGCAUGUUGGCAUCGAUGGAGGUGAUGUGUCAGCAACGACGCCCUAGUUUCCGCGUCAUUUUUGUGAAAUUAGUAUAUAUCUCGAUCCUCCGUGCUUUGUACGCGUACAAGUCCCUUCGAAGAAGUUUACCGUUGAUGAUGGAGGUAAUAGUAUAUAUGGCACCCUUCAAAAAAAAUAGUAUAUAUGGCACAUGCGUGGACCUCAGUUCCUUGCGUCAAUUAAUUAUAAGCACCCCGAUAUGUUAAUGACGGCACGUGGAUUGAUGGAUAUGAGAUGGCGAAUAAUGAAGCUCGAUCGGCAACGCGGACGUCAACGGCCGGCCGACCAGCACCGCUGCGACAUGUAAAAUUGUGUUUAUCAUAACUUGUCACAGAACUAGUUAAGAAUUGCUAAAUAUUUAAUGGUUUAAAAGUAGGUGAAAAAUAUGAAAUAAAUAGGGGGGCCUCACUCUAAUAUAAUAAAAUGAUUCAAUGGUGUGAUUAUGAAAAUAUGCAUUUAUCUGUCCUCAGCGGAAAAACCAAGCAUUUCAGCUCACUGUAGGAUCAAUAUGUAUUGAAACAUUUGUUUCUUUUGUCCAGGACACAUGCACUCAUACUUUUUCAAUCCCUCCAUUGGAUCAUGUUAUAUUAUAGAUGUGUUAGUUCUGUAUUUUCUCAGGAUUUUUGAGAACUUUUACACUGUCUAAAACCUUAACUAAUUCGGUGGCAAGUUAUUGUAGAAAAUCCUACUGACUAGGUAAAGGCAAGGUCAAGGUAAAAUGAUGUCAUGAAAGGACAAGGUCAAGGUCAAAUGAUGUGUGACAGAAGUACUAACUGGUGUUAGCAUUCUCUUUGUUCAUGGUGUUACUUCCGUGUCCUUUCUGGUUCUGGUGAAGUGAAACGUACUAUAGUAAUCUUAUAUUAGAUUUUCAUAUCAUCGGUCUCACAUGGACAUAAGUGCCUAUAAAAAUACGUGGCAUUGUCCUAUUCUCAGUUCCUUUUUGGGCGGGAAGGUGCAUAUCAUGUGGAUUUUUAUAUCAUCAUUGUUUCAUAUCCACUUGAUGAGGUAGUAGGUACAUAAGUUGGUUGUUGUGAACAUCGAUGCUGUACUAGUAGUCCCUAAAUAGAAGUAGUUAGUAGUACUUGUGAAUGCGUGAGACUACUAUUACAAACAUCUCUCUCUCUCUCUCUCUCUCUCUCUCUCUCUCUCUCUCUCUCUCUCUCUCUCUCACACACACACACACACACACACACACACACACUAAAUAGAGCGGUAAAUUUCGUUAGGUGUUUCCAUGUAAAUAUUUGGGCUUGUGACUAGGUUUUUCAGGUUGACCCCUAAAUAGAGCGGUAAAUUUCGUUAGGUGUUUCCAUGUAAAUAUUUAGACUUGUGACUAGGUUUUUCAGGUUGACCAAGAUACACGUUCCCGUCCAAAAGAGAACUAGGAUGAUCAACUCCGUUGGGUCGGUCGCCUAUGUUCAACUCCGUGUUGCUCUAAAUCCACAUGAUAUGUGCGUCCAAAAGAUACUGCAAAUUGACGAGAUCUUUAUCUAUCCAUACCGCUGAGAUGCCUGGCGGUAGGUGUACAAGCACUGUAUGUGAUACUUAUAAAUUAUUUACGGUAGGGCGUGCACCCCUAACGCCAAGAGGGCAUCGACGGCAGGUUGCUAUACCCUUAUGCCAUCGACCCCGGCGGUAGGAAAAAGGUCAGAUCUUAAAAAAAACAUUGGUCAGAUCUGGCUCAACUUUCACAAAAAGGUCAAAACACCUAAUUUACUCUAUGCAGAGGGUGAUCAGCCGGGAGUGUGGAGGGGCGCUCAGACGACUGAUAGGAGGGGCCCUCCGCCGCCUGACAGAAGCAACGUUCGUUGGCCCCACCUGGGUACUUGCGUGCAACAACUUAGCCGGCUAAAAAGAGGGCACUCGGCCGACUGAAUAGAGGGUGCUCGGCCGGCUAACAGGAGGGGGCCGAUGGUUUGCACGUUAUAUAUGGUGGUGUCGUUCUUGAAUGUAUGGAACAAUUCGGCCUGGAGUCACAACGGCAUGAGGCCGUUUUGUCGAACCUAGUGUGGGUCGGGGUGUUCUCUCGUGAAGGAGUAGUUGAUUUUUCUUGUUUGUAGCUUCGGGUGCUUCUUGUUAGGGUGUGGGCACUCUUGUAUUCAUGUUGUUUAUCUCUUGGUCUGCUUGUAAGAGGUUUUUCCCGUCAUCUUAUGUCGGUUCGGUCGUAUUGCUUUUCUUUUGAGGGAAUGCCACCACGGUGGAUUAUAUUGAUUUGGGGGAGAAAGAUGCAUAGUACAUCAACUAAGAACUCAGGUGGAUCUGCCGUCCACACACUCGUUUGGGAAUCAACCACCAUACUAGCUAUCACAUGAGCUGCUAUAUUUGCUUCUCUAGGACAAUGAGCAAAAAUAACAAAAGUAAAAUUGCGACAUAAAAAAAUACACCCUUCGUAGGUAGCUGCCGCAGGUCCGAUGGAAUUUUCCCCGCAGGUCGUAUUGCUGCUUUAUAUAUAGAGCGGGACAAAAACCUUUUUGUCAACUAAAGCCACAACUUCCCAUGUACUAGCAUUCUAGUGAUCGUGCGAGCAAAGCAAUGAAUAAAUGUAGACAUAACACACUGACCAUCGCGCGAGUAAAACAAUGAAUGAAAACAUGACUGUACAUACAUAUGUGAUCGAUCAAUGAAUUAAGUGAAUACUAUUAGCCUCCGCAAAAAAAAGAGUGAACAAAAUAUGUAUCUAGAAGAAUGCGAAGAAGAGAGAUCGAUGAUCAGGCCAUCAUCAUGACCCGGAACUCGUCGAACGAGAGUUUGCCGUCGCCGUCAAGGUCGAAUCUGCAGAUCAUUGCCCGGCACUCCUCCACGCCCAGCUCGUGCGACCCCAGCCUGCUCAGUGUUCGCCUCAGGCUCGCCGGCGUAAUCACCG